UGAGAGAAUUUGGGAGACGUAAGAAAUGGAGGCGUUCUGCAGGAGGAAAGCAAGAAGAAUGUGAGAAGGUUUUCUUAAGGCGUGACAACUCCUAACCAGACAAAAAAUCUGAGGUCGAGAAUUUCCCAAGCGAAAAGGUGUGGGGAACGCGAGUGGUGGAUUGCUGUCCGAAGGCGGAUUUUGGGGACAAUAAAGUCGGAGACGCACACGCACCCCUUGCAGACUGCAGCAGUUAGCCUACCAAACCUCGGCGACCGUUAAGAUUUCUUGCCAGUUGCCGCCACACUUUCCCACAUGAAUCGACAAACAUACACUUUUCCUGAGACUGUUCCUCUUCUGUACUAAUUUCACCAGCAGUCUUUUAAUUUAAGAGUGUCUUAAGCUGUUUGUUGUUGAAUUUCUAUUUGUAAUUAAAAGAGAAAGUCUUUCUAUAUUGAUUAGUAAUUUUUUUAUUUGAUUUCAA